GACGUAGGGCGCGAGCGUUGUCCGGAUUUAUUGGGCGUAAAGAGCUUGUAGGCGGUUUGUCGCGUCUGCUGUGAAAUUUCGGGGCUCAACCCCGAACUUGCAGUGGGUACGGGCAGACUAGAGUGUGGUAGGGGAGACUGGAAUUCCUGGUGUAGCGGUGAAAUGCGCAGAUAUCAGGAGGAACACCGAUGGCGAAGGCAGGUCUCUGGGCCACUACUGACGCUGAGAAGCGAAAAGCAUGGGGAGCGAACAGGAUAGAUA
rnacentral:rRNA from 1 species